rnacentral:rRNA from 1 species
UACGUAGGGGGCAAGCGUUGUCCGGAUUUAUUGGGCGUAAAGAGCUCGUAGGCGGUUUGGUAAGUCAGGUGUGAAAUCUCCACGCUCAACGUGGAGGGGCCACCUGAUACUGCCAUGACUGGAGUCCGGUAGAGGAGUGUGGAAUUCCCGGUGUAGCGGUGAAAUGCGCAGAUAUCGGGAGGAACACCCGUAGCGAAGGCGGCACCUCGUCGGGCCG